GACAGUUAACUGCUGGGACCGUUGGCAGUUGGGCGGCAGCCAUCUUAAGAGAGAGUGAUGGAGAGAGUGUGUGGGGAGAUACUGUACAACUGACCUGUUUCUGGCUACCAGAGUUAGAAAAGUUACAUCCGGAGAGCAGUCUGAGACGCCAUGAGCACAACCACAGCGUCUGGUAACAGCGGCUGGCAAGCAAUGGACAGGGGCAGAGCACAGGCAGAGACCCCCUUGCUGGAGCUGGCCUAGGGGGUAUGGUGAUGCAGUUCCCUACACCCAGCGGAGGCCGAUCACUAGGCGACGCCUUACCUGUGACAGACAUUUGGUGGACGGCACCCUGAGAAAAAGACCCUUCCUUCAGUAAAGGGAAUUUGACGCAGACUAAAAGUUUUCAGUAAAGGAUUGGAGAUACAGCAAAGAAAUCAAGCAAACAGGGUGAGAAGAAAAGGUAACCUCUGACAGCGACGGGUUGU